UACGUAGGGUGCGAGCGUUGUCCGGAAUUAUUGGGCGUAAAGGGCUCGUAGGCGGUCUGUCGCGUCGGGGAGUGAAAACUCAGGGCUUAACCCUGAGCCUGCUUCCGAUACGGGCAGACUAGAGGUAUGCAGGGGAGAAUGGAAUUCCUGGUGUAGCGGUGAAAUGCGCAGAUAUCAGGAGGAACACCAGUGGCGAAGGCGGUUCUCUGGGCAUUACCUGACGCUGAGGAGCGAAAGUGUGGGGAGCGAACAGG
rnacentral:rRNA from 1 species